UACCAAACUGGUAUAAGGCAAUCCAGAAAUGCUUCAACGAAAACAUUGAAACAUUUUGAGGAUCGAGUUUGUAGUUGUCUUUCGGUAACCCAAGUUUUAAUUGAAUCGAAUGCAAAAAACUUUGAUCUUUUACCGCCGAUUGAAAAGCAGUAACACCGCCGACGCGCACCAAACGGGAGGAUCUUUACGCCCUGCAUCAUUCUGUCUCCUAGGCAGACAAUUGUCUAACAAAGGGCGGAAUUUUUGUGAGGAUGAUGGAUCCGGGAAUAGUUUUGGCGAAUGUUUACCCUUGUUAGGGUUAUUGCAGUAUUUAGCUCUUAGACCGACCUAGUUAUUUAUAAAAAGGCUGAGUUGACAUAAAAGAUUAAAAAUUGAAAAAAGCACGAAAACUAAUACGCUGUGAUAAAAAAAAAGUUUAGACAAGUUUUGACAACCUAAUAUGUAGAAUUCGGAAAAUAAUGGGACAUAACAGUGGUUUUCGUUCCCCAAAUUUUCUAGAAAGAACUGGUAAGACUGUCAAAAACCAAAAUCGUUCUCACAGAAGCAGAGGAAAACUAAGAAGUACGGCAACGCUUUUGUUUUGGUUUACUGAACACUGAUAUUGCUUUGUUAAUACAGAACAGCUGAUGGCUGACUUUAUCAGAUUUUAUCAGCAAAAAUUGAUCGGGUAAAAUCUUGCAACUUCUGGCGAAGAGGGAACCUCAUUUACUCUCUCAUUUGUUGUCAAAUGUGGCAGAUAGUCGAAUACAGGAACGCUUUCUGCACGGCCGAGGAAAUCCUACGCAGAAACAAAUUCGGCGCAACAAUACUGUGGACUGUGUAGCUGGAGUUGGAUUGAUUAGGUUUAUUUUUUUAUACCUAUACCGGUAUAUCCUAUCGCCAGUUUGCCCGAAAAUCGGGUUUGGCUGGUAACAUUUAUUUUAUUUGUUUUGGUUGUGACACUGAAGAUUGCACAACGCCGUUAUGGCUGCAUGAUUAGAGGUGCGUACUACUAAUCUGUAGGACCUGAGCUCUAUCCCUGGUACAGCCAACAUCUAAAUUAGAAAAAGAAAAGGCAGGCGAGGCCAAACCUGCGAGAAAAAUCUUAUCAUAAAUUAAUUUUAUCAAAUAGCUCGAUGACGGAUAUUUUCCCAACAAUGGGCCGUAUGAUUAAAAAAUAAGCAAUUGCUUUUUCUUAAAAUUUCAGGCCUUUUACUCGAUUUAUGGCGGAUUCAUCAUUCUACAUAGUUCUGAACUUUUUCUUCCAUGUCGUUGUUGUUGCGUUUCUCUCACAAAGAGAGAACUAAAACGAUGAAUUCGCCUUUAUCCAAAAAAAAAUUGAAGUAAAAGGUAUGGCAUUUUAAGAAAAGGCAAUUGCUUAGUUUUUAUUCAUACGGUCCAAUAUUAAAAAAAAAAACAUAUCGAUCCCUAAACGCCAAAAAGCUGUUAGCGAGAUUUUUUCAAAAUUUUCUAUUUGAUGCAGAAAUGUUCCUAGAGCAUUUUU